GGUUACUUGAACACUGGAUUUGCAAAUGCAGUACAGCUGACUUAUGUUUCACAUGGUCAGUUGGAGAUUUCCCAGGCAAAAUUUCUAGUAACUCAGCAUUUGUGAGCAAGGUUCAGUUUAGGGAUUGAGAGCCCUCAGCGACUAUAACACCUAGCCCAUAUUCAAAUUGUAGCACUUGAUUGCUGCCACUGAUUCUUCAAAAUGCCUAUCUUGUAUGGAAUGCUUGACAGCCAAAUGGAAUGAUUUAAACAAAUGCCAAAGGUGAGACAUGCUGGAAAAGCUUGAUACGAAUAUGUAGACGUAGUUUUGGAAUUCAGAGGUGCAGCCGGCUGUUGGGAUUGCACCAUCCAGGCAAUGUGGAUAUUCUGCCAUGUACAUGAUAAACCGAGGAUUCUUCGUCAACAUGCAAGAUGUUACUCCCUG